UACUAGACACUGUGGGCCACCUGGAUGCC
rnacentral:piRNA from 1 species